UAAAAUACAACUUGUUUGAAUGAUGGUUGUAUUAAUGCUAGGGAAACAGAGCCGUUCCCUUCAAGAGCUUACAGCAAAAGAAGCAAAUAUCCACAGACCCACCAAGAAGAGUCUGAUGCUACAAAAGUAGAGAAGCUCUGAAUGCCAGCCAUUAAAUUGAAAAAUUGAAAUU
ensembl:lncRNA